AAGAAAGUAAAUAAUUAUAUAAACCUUAGAUUAGAAGUCUUGGUUUGGUUUUAAACCUUACUUUCU
rnacentral:tRNA from 1 species